AGGAAGCCGUCACCGGCAUAGCAGCCAGCAUUCUGCAGUUGCUGAUGCGGCAAGCAGUCGUUGCGGGUGCUGUAGGUAGAAGCCUACCCAUCGCUGGUGCCUUGCGGAUGGAUAGUCAACGAGUGAACUAUGCAGACCAGACGGACAGUGGUUCGCCAGCACUUCCCCACCCACCACCAUCGCUCAACGGUUGGGAUUUGUAGUUGUUACUACAACCAACAUUAUAAGAGUAAUUAAAUAGUUUUUGCAACAUGUGGUGACGAUGUGGGCGAGUGAGAUCAUACGCACUUUGUAACUGAAACCGACCGCAAAGCGGUCGGUUUUUUUAGUUCGGAAUUUGGAUCCGAUGUGAAAGUGUACGGCUAGCUUUGUAAAAUGUGAGGAAGUUUGAUUCGGUUAAUAAAUUUCGUAAUUAGUUUGAAGUUUUGUUGACGAA